ACACAUACACAUAUCAAUAGCCAAGGAGAGGGUGAGAGAAGGAGAGUGUGAUUAGGGAGAAGUAGAGAAGAAGAAAAAAAGAAAAUGAAGAAAAAAGGUGCCUUCUUGAGUCAAGAUGGAUUUGGUGCCCUUGGAAUGGCUGAAGCUGAAUUGGGUGCUGAAGAUCGAUUUGGUGUUGCCAUUGGUAUUGGUGUUUGGGUUACACUUAGUGUUGCCAUUGGUGCUAAUGCUUGAGAUGAUGUUGAUCCAGCCUUAGUACACUGCAAUUGGCAAAAAAUAUUUGGUCCAAUCAAACAUAUAUUUAGUUGUAUUAAUUUAAAACGUUACCAACAAAGUAUGCACUCACCCUUUUCCUUUUA